rnacentral:rRNA from 1 species
AAAGGCAAAAGAGAGCUUGAUUGCAAGACAUACAGGUCGAGCAAGGAUGAAAAUCGGACUUAGUGAUCCGGUGGUUCUGCGUGGAAGGGCCAUCGCUCAACGGAUAAAAGCUACCCUGGGGAUAACAGGCUUAUCUCCCCCAAGAGUCCACAUCGACGGGGAGGUUUGGCACCUCGAUGUCGGCUCAUCACAUCCUGGGGCUGUAGUAGGUCCCAAGGGUUGGGCUGUUCGCCCAUUAAAGUGGUACGCGAGCUGGGUUCAGAACGUCGUGAGACAGUUCGGUCCCUAUCCGUCGCAGGCGUAGGAAAUUUGAGAAGACCUGUCCUUAGUACGAGAGGACCGGGAUGGACGUACCUCUGGUGUACCAGUUGUCCUGCCAAGGGCAUGGCUGGGUAGCUAUGUACGGAAUGGAUAAGCGCUGAAAGCAUCUAAGCGCGAAGCCAACUUCAAGAUAAGAUUUCCCACCGCAAGGGUAAGACCCCAGAAAGACUAUCUGGUUGAUAGGUCGAAGGUGUAAGUG